UUCUUUUUACAUACAUUUUUUUGGUGGUUUAAAGAUGUAAACGUCUUGACGGGUAAAUGGAAUGUUUUUAUUUGAACUUUUGGUAAAAGUUAAAAUCGUAUCAUUUAUUUAGAAACCGUAUCACCGUGAAAUAUUUGGAACUAGCUAUCCGAAGUUCGCAAAAAUGUUUCAAUUCAUUCUGAAUGUACAGUAUAUUAUUAAUGACAUAGACCAAUAUGGGAUCAAUAUAUACAAAUCGACAUUACCUACAGUUUAUGAAUAAUCGUUUGGUACUGGCAUUUAAAAAUGCAUAAAAUCUCGUGUCG